rnacentral:rRNA from 1 species
GAGUUUGAUCAUGGCUCAGGACGAACGCUGGCGGCGUGCCUAACACAUGCAAGUCGCGCGCGAAAAGGGGCAACCCUUAGUAGAGCGGCGGACGGGUGAGUAACACGUGGGUAAUCUGCCUAGGAGCGGGGGAUAACCUGGGGAAACUCGGGCUAAUACCGCAUACGAUCAUGGGGCCUUGGCCCUAUGCUGAAAGGUGGCCUCUGCUUGCAAGCUACCACUCCUAGAGGAGCCCGCGCCUGAUUAGCUAGUUGGUGGGGUAAUGGCCUACCAAGGCGACGAUCAGUAGCUGGUCUGAGAGGAUGAUCAGCCACAUUGGGACUGAGACACGGCCCAAACUCCUACGGGAGGCAGCAGUGGGGAAUAUUGGACAAUGGGGGCAACCCUGAUCCAGCCAUGCCGCGUGAGUGAUGAAGGCCCUAGGGUUGUAAAGCUCUUUUGUGCGGGAAGAUAAUGACGGUACCGCAAGAAUAAGCCCCGGCUAACUUCGUGCCAGCAGCCGCGGUAAUCCGCC